GUGAAGCACUCUAAGAGGAGGAGCUUACUCUAGAGAGAGAGAAGAAGGUUCGGCAAGAAGGCGGGAAGAAAGCGGUGAAGAAGCGGCGGAUAACGAGCCUCGUCGGAGUUGCGGGUCUUCGCCGGAAUUCGCCAAAAUCAGUUAGCAAAAAAGCGAGGUAAGUCCCAUUUUUUUGAUAAUCUUGUAGAGGGAGAAGGGAAGGUCGCGUAGGUUCAAACGGGGGUCGAAUCGGAGUUAAAACGAGGGAGAUAUGACCGAAAUACCAAACCGACACGUUGCUGUUCGGAAUCUGGUGCCUGCGCGUGCGUUACACGCGCCGGAUAAUGGCUGCGCGUGGGGGCGCGUGUCCAUCCUUCUUGGGGCGCGUGAAGAAACCUAGGCCGUUUGCUGUAAAAUUAUAUCGUCGAAGAGAUAACUCAACAAGGUUCGACGAGCGGCUCUAAAGGAAAGGAGGUAGCUGAAGAAUAAGUUUAAUUUGCUGUCUAUAGCAUGUUUAGAAUAUUUUCAUUUAUAUGCGAACCUAUGUAUGUCUUGGAUAUGUUUAAGACGUUCAGUUAUAUCUUGCGAGAGAUGAUGUCCAUGUAAUUCAUUUUGUAAACGUCUUGAACAAUUUUAUGAUAAAUAAAGUAUUAUGGUUGUGAACCAUAUCA